GGCAGGGAGCCGGCCAGAGGUGACAGGAAAAUUACACAGACAGGAAUCAGCCUUCAGCUGCAGGUUUGGACCCCCGGCAUACAUUAAACACCUCUGAGACCCAUGCGAAUAUUAAUGGCAGGCUUCAUAUAUUCCUAAAACGAGGUGUCAAAGGUCUUUGGAAGCCUUUAGUGCAAAGACCUUUUGGAACUAGAGCUGAAAAAAACUAUGUAAAUGAAAUGAUUUCCUUGCCGUUUCCCAGAAAGCACUUUCGCAUCUAAACUGCAAAUUUGAAUUCUCCCAUUUGCAUCCACCCCCUUCCCAAAAAAUGACUUUCUGGUCUUCCGAUCCAAUGGGUUUCACUCUCGGUUUCGCCAAGACCUCAGGGGAACAAUCUGGAACAUUAAAAUGAGGCCCGUUUAGGCAGCGACUCCUGCGAUUGGCUGCCUCAUUAAUGCUGAGGUGCUGGCUCUGGGGAAUUGCAAGUGUGACGAGGGGAAAAUAGUAACCAACUCGUUUUAAAAGCACACAGGAACCGGCUCCAAGCCUCUCAGCACCUGUGAAAAUUCCCAACAAAAUCGCUACAGUGGAGCGCAUCCCACUCACGACUGGAAGCCAUCCCUGAGAGAGAUGAAUGUGUUUGCUAACUUCUGAAAGUUGGGGGGAGUUGCUCACUAGAUAAGAUUUGUUUUUGAAAGCUGAUAUAUCAGACUAAACACUGCACUCCCAGAAUAGCAUUUAAGUUCUUGUUCAGCAGAUAAUCUAAAACAUAUUCCAAACAAUUCUUCAGUAUAUCGUUGUCUUCUUAAAUGUUCUAAAUAUAUAUUUAUGUAAACCCACAUAAAGGGUAACCCAGAACGUCAUCUGCACAUUUAUUCUUUUAUAUUUUGUUAAAAGCGACACUAAAAACACAGGCCAACGUUUUUUUUGUGCGUUCUCCACACGGUCUGGUAUUCUCGAAAAGAAAGCCAAUCUGUAGAUUAUAAACAUCAGAUAAUCAUUUCAGAUAAAUGUUUUAUUUAUUUGCUUUUGUUUCUUUCGCAAUGACAAACAUGCCUAAGUUACGCUGCCGUGGAUGGAUACAUACGACUACAUGAGUACGAGGCGCGGAUGGCGAAGGCGCUGCUCUGUGUUAGCAGGCUUACGCAUCCCAAUGUUAUGCGGCGUGCAGCUGCGAGACGCGCUUGUCCAAGGAAAACACCCGGCUUCCAGAAGCGCAUAAGCAGGGAGAGACGUUCCAGACCGCAUGAGCGAAACGUUAGAGCUUGUCGGUGACGGUGGGGGCGAUCGGAGGAGAGCCAGUGCUGGAGUGAGAGAACGCCAAUGAGAUACAAUGAAAGAGAAGACGAAUUAGCCCCUGCACCGGAGCCAGGCCCUCGUGUGGAUGAUCCCAGGUGCCUCUCGUCUGCUCCCUCAUCUGUGGAAUUAACGUCAGUUGCGGAGAAUACUGGAGGGGGGGUUUCCACUCCCCCGAUAUGCAGUCCUUGCUUUGGAAUCCGAAGUAGGAGAAUCUAAGGAAGUUCAUCCUAUGGCGACACGGGAGGUGGGGGCUCGUCGGAGGACAAGAAUUCCCCAUCCAAAGAAGAUCCGCGUUUCCAAACUUCGUCUCAAAUACAUUACUGUGAGAAUCCAGACAUUAAAUCCUCUCACGGUGUUCAAGCGCACGUAUCUAUCCACUCUACGAUAGUUAAUGUCCCUGAUAUGUCGGUUCAAUUAAGAUCUGAUCCGUACAAAGCAAAAGUUACUAGUGCCGCAUCAUGUAUUCAGUAAAUUUUACGAGAGAUUGUCACGGUGGUUCUAGGUUAAUGAUGGACAAUUUACUGAAGCAUGUCAGCACUCGCCUUUGUUGAAACGGUGGAUAGCCUAAUAUAACUAUACUUAAAUAUUUACAUAAAUAUAAUGGAUAUUCAUACUUAAUUUAAAGGUGGGAAAUGAACUGAAUUAAAAUGAAGUGUAUUGAGAUUCAUGUAGGCUAAUGGCAACUGUCGUGUGAAAUAUUCUCCUUUCAAAAGCGCAGUUAAAAGUGUUCACAUUUUGAAAAGCAGGUCACGCAAUAAUUUUUAAAAACCGUUGGUGAAAAUUUUGCCACCACAUUUAUGCUACACUCCGAAAAACAUAAGCUGCAAACUGGAGACUAUUUUCGAAAAAUAAAAAUAAGAAAAAUAUCUACAUCGUUGCUACAUUUAAAAAUAGUUACACUGCUGAAGAUGCAGAGUAAUUAUGCUUUUACGCGCUAAUGAAUUCAAAUAGAAAUACAAUUAUAUAAUGCAUAAUGAUUUUUAAAACGGUGCGCUAAUAUUAAAGACCUGAAGUGUAGUAAUUUAGCACAAAACAUGCUGCCAACUGAAGUCAUUAAAUCUUUUUGCAAAUGCCAAACACAGAACAAUCUAAUUAAUUGUUAAGGUCUGUUACAUGGACAAAUGGUAUGAUUAAGAAGUGAUUUCCCAAAUAGAAUUAAGCAUUGGACACUGAUUGCCUCUUCUUCCAAAAUAAGGAUCUUGCUGAACCAAGUUGUGUUCAUUAAUUAGCUUUGUCAGUGACUUCAAUUACAUAUGUAAAAAUGCCUCAGCCAUCAUGACAUAUUUAUCUAGUUGACCAUCCAUCCAUCCAUCCAUCUAAUUUGCUUGCUAUGUUUUUUUUUUACCUAAGCCGCACACCGCUGCUGUGUCCACAGUUGGGGUUUGCGCCAUUGCUAGCUGGGACCCGGAAAGAGAGAUUCUUCACUUUGUGUGCAGUGGGUCAUGUGACAUAGGAGGCGCUUGGUAAUAGGCCUGGACAGACUGGGGAGAUAAUCAAUGGUGUUUUGGUUCAAAGCAAAGCUGCCAAAUUGCUCCUGGCCUCUGUCUUUAGGCUUCAGUGGGCAUGCUGCUUCAACGGGAAGUGGUGGGGAUGGUUGUCUGUUGUUAUUAACAGGCAGGUGAUGUUUCCACCCUAAAACUCAUUUUAUAAUCGACACUCAUUCUUACCGGAUAUGCAACAUGUCUUGAUUUGCUAUAAAAAUUUGAAAUUAUGAAUGUUAUAAUUAUUUUGUAACAAACAACCAUGCAUAAUGAAAAGUACAUGAACUGCACUUUAUUGAUCUACCAAAAGUGCAGUAUUGUUACAUUUCCACUUAA